rnacentral:rRNA from 1 species
AUGCGUCCCCUUUUUAAAGUCCUACUGUAUUUAGGGUUCAACUGGGUUGCCUUACCCCUUCUUUUACAUCUUCCUUUAAAAGGAAGUGUUCACAUCAAAUUAUUUUUGAAGAGAUCACCGAAACAAUCACACAAAAAAAGUCGAGAAGACACAAUCAAGGAGUUAAGUUCAAAAGUAUCCACACAUCCAUCAUUCAAGCAGAAGGACCUGAGUUUUGUUUGGUCAACACCAGACCACACGUCACAAAUGUCCACGGUCACAAUGGAAAGCUCUCCACAAUACCCCGCUUUCGGUUAUAUUUAG